UGGGGAAUCUUGCGCAAUGGGCGGAAGCCUGACGCAGCAACGCCGCGUGAGGGAUGACGGCCUUCGGGUUGUAAACCUCUUUCGCGAUCGACGAAGCUUCUGGUUGUUCCAGGGGUGACGGUAGGUCGAGAAGAAGCACCGGCCAACUACGUGCCAGCAGCCGCGGUAAUACGUAGGGUGCGAGCGUUGUCCGGAAUUAUUGGGCGUAAAGAGCUCGUAGGCGGUGUGUCGCGUCGGCCGUGAAAACCUGGGGCUCAACUCUGGGCGUGCGGUCGAUACGGGCAUCACUGGAGUUCGGCAGGGGAGACUGGAAUUCCUGGUGUAGCGGUGAAAUGCGCAGAUAUCAGGAGGAACACCGGUGGCGAAGGCGGGCCUCUGGGCCGAUACUGACGCUGAGGAGCGAAAGCAUGGG
rnacentral:rRNA from 1 species